CGGCAAUAGCUCAAAUUUGAAAUCUGGCCUCGGCCCGAGUUGUAAUUUGCAGAGGAUGCUUUUGGUGCGGUGCCUUCUGAGUCCCCUGGAACGGGGCGCCAGAGAGGGUGAGAGCCCCGUCUAGUUGGCCACCAAGCCUGUGUAAAGCUCCUUCGAC
rnacentral:rRNA from 1 species